rnacentral:misc_RNA from 1 species
AAGUCGUAACAAGGUUUCCGUAGGUGAACCUGCGGAAGGAUCAUUAACACUCUUAUGAAAUUUAACAACCUUCAUAUACCAUGCCACGCGAACUGUUGCAUCCCUCUCCCCCAAUCCCUAGCGCGAACGGCGGCAGUCAUGGCGGAGGCCUUAAUGAGUACUUUAUUCAUUAACGCUUUCGGCUGUACGACGACAGUCUAGGUCAGGGCGAGGCAGGUCGUGCGCUUCGUCACCCCCAUUGGCGAAGUUGCUAUUAUAACAUUAUCAUUUCUUUACCCCUGCUAUUAUGAACUGACUGUUGAAUGGACUAUAUCGUAUUGCACUUCUUAAAGGAGUGUCAGUAUGGUAUGGCUCAUCGAUAUUCGUUAUCGAAUCAACAAUGGAAAACACAACUCUUACCAGCGGAUAUCUCGGUUCCC